AACGAACGCUGGCGGCGCGCCUAACACAUGCAAGUCGAACGAGAAUCCGGGGCAACCCGGUAGUAAAGUGGCAAACGGGUGAGGAAUACAUGGGUAACCUACCCUUGAGAAGGGAAUAACCCGCCGAAAGGUGAGCUAAUACCCUAUACGCUAUCGUUUUUUCGAAAAGGAUAGGAAAGCCGGGUCGAGGACCUGGUACUCAAGGAGGGGCUCAUGUCCUAUCAGCUUGUUGGUGGGGUAACGGCCUACCAAGGCUACGACGGGUAGCUGGUCUGAGAGGAUGAUCAGCCACACUGGCACUGAGAUACGGGCCAGACUCCUACGGGAGGCAGCAGUGAGGAAUAUUGCGCAAUGGGCGAAAGCCUGACGCAGCGACGCCGCGUGGGGGAUGAAGGUUUUCGGAUUGUAAACCCCUUUCAUGAGGAAAGAUAAAGUGGGUAACCACUUAGACGGUACCUCAAGAAGAAGCCACGGCUAACUUCGUGCCAGCAGCCGCGGUAAAG
rnacentral:rRNA from 1 species